UGGGCUUAGGAGCACUUUAAAAUUUGUGGU
rnacentral:piRNA from 1 species